rnacentral:rRNA from 1 species
AGCGAACGCUGGCGGCAGGCUUAACACAUGCAAGUCGAGCGGGCCCUUCGGGGUCAGCGGCGGACGGGUGAGUAACGCGUGGGAACGUGCCCUCUGGUCUGGAAUAACCCUGGGAAACUAGGGCUAAUACCGGAUACGCCCUUUUGGGGAAAGGCUUGCUGCCGGAGGAUCGGCCCGCGUCUGAUUAGCUAGUUGGUGGGGUAACGGCCUACCAAGGCGACGAUCAGUAGCUGGUCUGAGAGGAUGAUCAGCCACACUGGGACUGAGACACGGCCCAGACUCCUACAGGGGGCAGCAGGGGGGAAGAUUGGACAAGGGGCGCAAGCCUGAUCCAGCCAUGCCGCGUGAGUGAUUAAGGCCGUAGGGUUGUAAAGCUCUUUUAUCCGGGACGAUAAUGACGGUACCGGAGGAAUAAGCCCCGGCUAACUUCGUGCCAGCAGCCGCCGUAA